rnacentral:lncRNA from 1 species
GUUCAGUUGCUCCUAAACUGCCUUUGUGCUGGGCUCUCAGAUAAACAGGACAAGGAGUAGCAUCACCUGUGCUGUUCUUGCCUUUUGGAGCAGGAAUGGUCAUCAAGAGCAGAAGGAAGGAAGCAGAAGAGCUGAGUCACCCCUCCAGAAGACAUUUCCCACCAGAGAUGUUCUGCCAUGUGAUCCUGGUAUUGAUCCUGGUAUCUCUUGUCACUGGAGGAGCUCCUGUGUCACUCCCAGGCCUGGGUGAGGGUGACAUUCCUCCAGUGGCAUUGCUACAGCAAAGGCAAACUCACCACUCAGUGUAUGCUGCAGAACAAGUAAAUCCUCUCUGUUUGGAAGCAUCCCUGUCUGCACUGAGACCUUGCCUUUGGAAGGUGAUAAUGUGAAAAACAUCCUGUGACGUUUUUGCAUUUGUUCUCUGGGAGCCAUCCAUCAUUUCUAGCACCGUGACUUCUGGGUGACUCCUCUGUGCUUCUCCCUGCCACCGUGUGCCAGCUUUGUGCCAAUAAUCUUGGAUGACAGUUAUGGAGGUCUAAAUUCAUCCCUCAUUUUUGUUAUAUAUUGCCUGUGAUUUAAAGCCACUUAAAUAUAUAUUGCCUGUGAUAUAAAGUCACUUAAUUGUCUUGUUUCUCUUCUGUAACAUAAUACUGCGUUUUUCCUCCCUGUCAUCUGCCUGCUCUCUGUGGAUCCAGACAGAGCUCUCUUGGGUGCAGGUGUCUCAGCAGACUCUUUGGAACAAAUAAACUACUUCAGGUGAUUAACUUCUGGACUUGG